rnacentral:rRNA from 1 species
UGGGGAAUCUUGGACAAUGGGGGCAACCCUGAUCCAGCCAUGCCGCGUGGGUGAAGAAGGCCUUAGGGUUGUAAAGCCCUUUCAGUCGUGACGAUGAUGACGGUAGCGACAGAAGAAGCCCCGGCUAACUCCGUGCCAGCAGCCGCGGUAAUACGGAGGGGGCAAGCGUUGUUCGGAUUUACUGGGCGUAAAGGGCGCGUAGGCGGAUUGUUAAGUCAGGGGUGAAAUCCCGAGGCUCAACCUCGGAACUGCCUCUGAUACUGGCAAUCUCGAGUCCGGAAGAGGUUGGUGGAAUUCCGAGUGUAGAGGUGAAACUCGUAGAUAUUCGGAGGAACACCAGAGGCGAAGGCGGCCAACUGGUCCGAGACUGACGCUGAGGCGCGAAAGCGUGGGGAGCAAACAGGAUUAGAUACCCGCGUAGUCC